rnacentral:rRNA from 1 species
UACGAAGGGUGCAAGCGUUGUCCGGAAUUAUUGGGCGUAAAGAGCUCGUAGGCGGUCUGUCGCGUCGGCUGUGAAAACCCGGGGCUCAACCCCGGGCCUGCAGUCGAUACGGGCAGGCUAGAGUCCGGUAGGGGAGACUGGAAUUCCUGGUGUAGCGGUGAAAUGCGCAGAUAUCAGGAGGAACACCGGUGGCGAAGGCGGGUCUCUGGGCCGGAACUGACGCUAAGGAGCGAAAGCGAGGGGAGCGAACAGG